AUGAACGAAGUCAGGUGUUGUUCAUGUGAACAAGGUCAGGUGUUGUUCAGGUGAACGAGGUCAGGUGUUGUUCAGAUGAACGAGGUCAGGUGUUGUUCAGGUGAACGAGGUCAGGUGUUAUUCGGCUAAACAAGGUCAGGUGUUGUUCAGCUAAACGAGGUCAGGUGUUGUUCAGGUGAACAAGGUCAGGUGUUGUUCGGCUAAACGAGGUCAGGUGUUAUUCGGCUAAACAAGGUCAGGUGUUGUUCAGGUCAACAAGGUCAGGUGUUGUUCAGCUAAACAAGGUCAGGUGUUGUUCAGGUGAACAAGGUCAGGUGUUGUUCGGCUAAACGAGGUCAGGUGUUGUUCAGCUAAACGAGGUCAGGUGUUGUUCGGCUAAACGAGGUCAGGUGUUGUUCGGCUGAACGAGGUCAGGUGUUGUUCGGCUGAACGAGGUCAGGUGUUGUUCGGCUGAACGAGGUCAGGUGUUGUUCGGCUGAACGAGGUCAGGUGUUGUUCGGCUGAACGAGGUCAGGUGUUGUUCGGCUGAACGAGGUCAGGUGUUGUUCGGCUGAACGAGGUCAGGUGUUGUUCGGCUGAACGAGGUCAGGUGUUGUUCGGCUGAACGAGGUCAGGUGUUGUUCGGCUGAACGAGGUCAGGUGUUGUUCGGCUGAACGAGGUCAGGUGUUGUUCGGCUGAACGAGGUCAGGUGUUGUUCGGCUGAACGAGGUCAGGUGUUGUUCGGCUGAACGAGGUCAGGUGUUGUUCGGCUGAACGAGGUCAGGUGUUGUUCGGCUGAACGAGGUCAGGUGUUGUUCGGCUGAACGAGGUCAGGUGUUGUUCGGCUGAACGAGGUCAGGUGUUGUUCGGCUGAACGAGGUCAGGUGUUGUUCGGCUGAACGAGGUCAGGUGUUGUUCGGCUGAACGAGGUCAGGUGUUGUUCGGCUGAACGAGGUCAGGUGUUGUUCGGCUGAACGAGGUCAGGUGUUGUUCGGCUAAACGAGGUCAGGGGUUGUUCGGCUGAACGAGGUCAGGUGUUGUUCGGCUGAACGAGGUCAGGUGUUGUUCAGCUAAACGAGGUCAGGUGUUGUUCGGCGGUCACUAGCGGUCAGUAGGACACAGCGGUCACUAGGACAGGCUAGUAA